AGAGUUUGAUCAUGGCUCAGGAUGAACGCUGGCGGCGUGCCUAACACAUGCAAGUCGAGCGAUCUUCUUCGGAAGAGAGCGGCGGACGGGUGAGUAACGCGUGGGUAACCUGCCCUGUACACACGGAUAACAUACCGAAAGGUAUGCUAAUACGGGAUAACAUAUGAAAGUCACAUGACUUUUAUAUCAAAGCUUUUGCG
rnacentral:rRNA from 1 species